rnacentral:rRNA from 1 species
CUACGGGUGGCACCAGUGAGGAAUAUUGGACAAUGGGCGAAAGCCUGAUCCAGCCAUGCCGCGUGCAGGAAGACGGCCCUAUGGGUUGUAAACUGCUUUUGUACGGGAAGAAACACCCCCACGUGUGGGGGCUUGACGGUACCGUAAGAAUAAGCAUCGGCUAACUCCGUGCCAGCAGCCGCGGUAAUACGGAGGAUGCAAGCGUUAUCCGGAAUCAUUGGGUUUAAAGGGUCCGUAGGCGGACAAUUAAGUCAGAGGUGAAAUUCUGCGGCUCAACCGUAGAACUGUCUUUGAAACUGGUUGUCUUGAAUCGUUGUGAAGUGGUUAGAAUGCGCAGUGUAGCGGUGAAAUGCUUAGAGAUUGCUCAGAAUACCGAUUGCGAAGGCAGAUCACUAACAAUGUAUUGACGCUGAGGGACGAAAGCGUGGGGAGCGAAUAGGAUUAGAUACCCCGGUAGUC